UGCUCCAAUUUGCUUCAAGUCAACACAGAUGACCGUUUCAUCUUCUUGUCUUACAGGAACUGUUCUUCAAUCACAACAACCUCACAAAACGACCGGUGCGCUGCUCCUCCUCCCUGCGGGACCAAGAUACUAUUUUUCAAACGAAGCGCUUCUCUCAUACCUUUUAAGUCCAGACCUCAGUCGUGUCACGUGCCAAGACAUGCGGAGGCCAGGGAGGAGCUGCAGGCUUCUAUGCACAAUACAUAUAUCUCCUUUUUUUUUUUUUUUUUUUACAAUUAGGCUGCUAGCCGUUUUUCUUUCCUUCUCAUCCGAACUGGUGGCUUUUAAAAGAGACGUUUGUGACAUAAUGUUUUUAUUUUAAAAGAGUGAAAAGACAAAUCAUCAACUUGUAUUUCAGUCAUGUUAUGUUCAGGACAGCUUCAGGUUGGAAACGGUACGGCACGAGCUGCCCAACCGGGCGCCGCUGCGGGAGCGCGGGACGGUUUCACCGCAGGAUCGAAGAGGAAAGACGGCGCUGCCGGAGGGACGAGAGGCUCCACUCCACAGUUACUGCACAUCUCGCACGAUUUGCGAUUUAAGUUCAAGUCACGUAAAGAAAAGGUUUUUUUCCUCCUGUGAAAAUUUGGCGAUUCAGCGAUUCAGGAGUCAUUGUGGAAUUUUUGACUUCAAUCCAGCGUGUUUUGGUAGAUGUCAGUUAGAGGUGUGUUUUAAACUUUUAAAUCCCCGACGUGCAGUUAAAACUAACAACAUGAAGAAAUGUAACUUGUGAAUUUAUACACGGGGCAUUCGAGGGUAAAUUUAUUUGCCAACAAGCGAUCGAUCGGCCAGGUGUUGAAUCUUCUUCCCUUUUUGUUUUUUAUCGAGCCUUUGCGAUUUCAAAGCACUUAGGUUUCCUGUGACGCAGGGAGCCCAAACCGAGGAGACACAUUAGGUUAUAUCAUUUCACAAAGAGUUUAAAUCCUGUAAAAAAAAUAAGAAUUUAAAAACCACGGUUGCACAACGUCACGCCAUGCAGAUUUAUCAGGAGAACUAAAUGAAAUCUUGAAGGAAAUUUUUUAAAGAAAGAAAGAAAAACCUUCUUGAAAGGUUUUGUUAUUUAAAGUUUUCCUGAUAUUUCGUUCAUGUCAAAAUAUUCGCUUACACUUUAAUUAUUCAGUUUAAGAAACUAAUUAUCUGUGCGAAAGUACAAAAGAAGAAUAUAUUUGAUUAUAGUUUUAAUAUACAAUUUAGAUGGAAGUAAUAAGAUAUUAAUACAUAUAAAUAUAUUACUAAUGACAAGUGUUUUUUACAUUGGAGGAAGCAUUCUCAGAUCAUUUUUAACGGUCAUUUUCUAUACUUGUAUUUUUGUAAAGGAUGAGAUGCAUGUAGAUUUUUUUACGUAACCAAAGGAACACUAAUACUUGCAUGAUAUUUCGGGAUGCUUGGGCCUGACAGUAUCUCGGUGUACAUAAGCUUUGCAAAAGAUGCCUGCAACGUGAUGUGUGACUUUGAGAGUGGAGUGAGGCAUCGAUAAACAAAAAUCCUGAUGAUCUGCCUCAUUAUUUUCUGCAUUAAUUGUGAAUCCAAGUAAAUAGAAGUUAAAAGAUCUGCACUGAAACGUGUCACGACGAAAAGAAGAUAAAAAAAAAACCUUCAUCGUCCCACUUUUCAACACGUCGUCGCAUUCUCAUCUCAAAACGAGGCAAAUACAACCUCUCGGGGAGGAAACAUCAGGAAAAAGCACAGAUGUAAUCGGAAGAUAACGUAACAAACGUUUAUCGUGCACAUUUUCGCGCCACGUCUGUGUGUUUGGUUUUCACUCUUAAAAAGAGUGGACCUCCAAUCUGACCUCCCGUUAUAGAGAUGUAUUCUAGCUCCCCAGCAAUGCGUAUCAUUACUAUACUACUCCUUGGGUUUUACUUUGACUGCCAAUAUUUAAAACACUAUAGCAUGACUUUAUUCUGUCAUCCGCCCCCUUCUGUUUCUAUGUUUUGUGCUUGUAUUUAAUUACUCUUGUAACGUGUCACGUGUCAACGUGUUUGUGAUCAGAAAUAACAUCCCAGCAGUUUAAACUCUUCACUUAUUUCACUGUAGUUACGUGAAUAUUGUAGUCUCUGAUUUUUAUAAAGCACUCUGUUCUUUUUGUACUUUUCUUAUGGUGCUAGGUGUCAUUUCUGACGCGUCCUGACGAACGGCCCGAUGCUGUGGCUGCAUAUCAGGCCUUUUGAAUUGUCUGUGUCCAACACAAAGAUCAACAGUCUCUCUCCAUUUGUUAUGUUUUUACAUAAAUGUAUAACCCCCCCCCCUCUGAACUGGUCGUUAAGUAGAUCUGGAAACAGAAGACCGGCUGCAUGAUUUUAUUGUUAUUUUAAAUCACAACAUUUAAUUCUUUUAGAAAGUUGUAAAUCCAACAACUCCUCCAGUUUCUCUCAACUAACGUGCAGAUGUUGGGAAUGUUAUUGACGUUUGAAGGUGCGUCGUGGCACCUGGUUGGAUGUCUCUAGUUUACUGGGUUGGUGUGGUGUUAUUACUUCCCUUGUAUUUCCCCCUCUAUCGAAUACUUAUCUUCAUAUGUUGUUCACUUUUCUUUAAGUAGCAGUUAGUCUACGUAUGUUUGUUUUGAAAGUUAAAAAUGGCCCAUUUGAUACAGUAUUUUAGUUUUCAGCCAGGGCUUUUCUUCCGUUGGGUGGACAGGGAAUAAUGAGUUGUGCAUAAGCCAAUUAUGUUUGUGAUUUUUGAUUUGUGUUGAUAGUCUUUGCCCCCCCACCCCCUCCAAAUCCAUCAAGUUCUUCAAAAUGUGUAAACUCAGCCACGGAUGACCAACAGUUCUGAAAAUCAGAAAUAAAUCAAUAAAAAUGUUUAACUUGCUUUGUCUUUGGUGCAAAGUUGGCUGUUCAGUUCUGCAC
ensembl:lncRNA